UAAACAUAUUAUUAUUAUUUUUUUUAUUUUUAAUUUUUUAAAAAAAAUAAUUUUUAUUUUUAGUAGUUUUUAGCGAAAGAAAAUUUUUUGUUAUAGUUAAUUUUACUGUAAAGGUUAUUUUUAAUUUUAGAAAAAGUACUUUUUGUUUAGGGUACCUUUUGUAUCAGGGUUGAUCAAUUUAAUUUUAUUUAUAUAAUUUUCCCGAAAUUAGAAGAUUUAAGUUGCUAUGUUAUUUAAUGUUUCAAAAUUAUUAAUAAUAGUAAUUUGGGUGUGAAAUAUAAUUCAUUUCUAAUAUAUCUGGUUGUUUAAUAAUUAAAUUUAAUUUAGGAAUGUAUUUUUAAUUAUUAAUUUUAUUAUAGUUAUUUUAUAUAUUCUAAUAUCACUGGGGAUAAGCUCGGUUUUAUUUCUAAAAGUUUUUUAUAAGAAAAGUUUUGUAGGAUUAAUAACAUUCAUCAUUUAUUUCGUUAUAGUUAAUAUUUUUAUAAUAUUUAUUUAUUAAAACUUUAGAAUUUUAUUAAAUUUAUAAUUUAAAUUAUUUUAAUUUUGUAAUAAUGAUUAAAUUAGUAUUUAUGAUAGAUAAAGUUUAGUAAUUCGGCAAAUAUUAUUUCCGCCUGUUUAACAAAAACAUGUCCUUUUGAUUUUUAUAUGAGGUCGGGCCUGCCCAAUGAUUUUAUUUAAUGGCCGCAGUAUCCUAACUGUGCAAAGGUAGCAUAAUCAUUUGUCUUUUAAUUGAAGGCUGGUAUGAAUGGUUUGACGAGAAAUAUACUUUCUUUUCUUUAUUUUAUAAAAUUUAAUUUUUAAGUUAAAAAGCUUAAAUUUAUUUAUUGGACGAGAAGACCCUAUAGAGCUUUAUAAAAUUUUAUUUAUUUUAUUUUUGGUUAUUUAAUAUUAAAUAUUUAACUUUUUAUUCCGUUGGGGUGACGUAAAAAAUUGUAUAACUUUUUAUUAUUUUUUCACAAAUUAGUGUUUUUUUGAUCCAUUAUUAAUGAUUAUAAGAUUAAGCUACCUUAGGGAUAACAGCGUAAUUCUUUUGGAGAGUUGUUAUCGAUAAAAGAGUUUGCGACCUCGAUGUUGGAUUAAAGUAAGUAUUAGGUGUAGCCGCUUAAUUACUAGGUCUGUUCGACCUUUAAAUCUUUACAUGAUCUGAGUUCAGACCGGCGUGAGCCAGGUUGGUUUCUAUCCUUAAUUUUUUAAAAAUACUUUAGUACGAAAGGGCCAAGUAUUUGAAAUAUUUUUUAUAUUUUUGAUUAAUAUUA
rnacentral:rRNA from 1 species